rnacentral:lncRNA from 1 species
GAAAAGGCAUAGAAGAAGGCCCCGGUGUCCAUCCUUUAUACUGACUCUGAAAAUCGUCUCCAUAAGUGGGCAUUUGUGAAGAUUGGCCUAAUUCUGUGUAUGAGCCGUAUGGAUGGAAUGCAACAGGUGAUGGUAUCUGCAUUACACCAGGGUUUGGCGUAGGCCGUGGAAUCUCCGUCUCCCUUGAUGGCCUGGUAGUGUGGCGACGAUGUCGUGGAGGAUUCCUGGAGGACGAGGGUGCGUCGUCGUGUACAUCAUGUGGAAGCGGUUGGGAAGGUGGCGCCGGCUGUGGAGGUGGUAUUUGGGAAAUGCGAUCGAACAAACGAAGUGCAUGAAACAUUGAAUUGACCGCAUUUCCAAUCUUGUCUACUGUUGGGUGACGAACUU